rnacentral:lncRNA from 1 species
UUUUUCCUCUUCUCCACCUUCUCUCAAAUACUCAAAAACCAUAAUCAUUCCUCCAUUGAUUGAGCUCCAAUAAAGCGUCAAAACCAAAAAGCUUCAACCACAAAAGUGCUUUACUGCUAAAGGGAAAUCCAUUUUAACUAAUAAACUCAAGGUGAAAAAUCAUUUUAUCUCCCUCUCUUUCUUUACAUGCGGAUUAUUGGUUUGACCCUUCUUGUUUGUUGUUUUUGGUUUUGUUGAUGCUUGUAUUAAUGAAAAAUAAAUCCUUUCGCUCCUCUUUUCCUCUCAAACUCGCGAGCUCAACCAAUAGAGGGAGAUGAUUUUUGUUUGUGUGCUUUUGGUAAUAUGAAAUUGAUGUUGUGUGUUUACUUGAAAAACUAGAAGAGAAACAAAUUGGCUCAUAGUUUGUUUGAUCCACCAAUAACUCCAUAUUUCCUUUCUUUUGAAUAAACUGGAAGUGUCAAGUCGAUACAUGUGCUAAACUGUGCUAUCUGCAAUGAGCAUUUUAUGUAUGAACUUGAAUGUUGAAAGUGUAAGUAAUAAGAUGUAUCUGAGAUGCUCUUUGUCAGUGUAGAGUGCUUAGUGAGGAAGAUGUGUAUUAAUUAGGAUGUGUGAAGUAUGUCUGGUGUACUACAUGAUUGUUUGGUGUAUAUGAUAUUAUGAUGCAAUGCCUAUUAUAAUACUGGUAUAAGAGAAUCAAUUAGGGUGGCAUGUCAUACAACUUGGCCCUUCUAUUUCGUAUGCAGAUUAUUGAUCUUGACAGAGGAUUGGUUUAAAUGGUGGAACAAAAUAGGUGAAAUGUGAAUUGAAUUUUAAAGGAUGACUAGAUACAUUUCAAUUAGAAACAAGAUAGAGAAGUUUGUCUUAACAAAUUGAUUUGUUCUACAACCUAAUAAUAUUUAAUAUAUUUUGAAAGGAAUUAAACUAUUUCAAAGAGUUAGUACUUUGAAAUUAGAAAAAUAUUUAUUGAUAUUUUUGUGUGUGAUUAUGAGGUAAAUACUUCGAUUAAGUAUUUAAUCUUUAAAAAUAUAGUGAAUCAAACUUGUAGUUAUUGAGAAAAAAAAUUGUGGUUGUGUGAAAAAUUUUAAGAAAAAUAAUUUAAAAUGUUUCGAAUAAUUGUUAGUGAAUUCUCAGAAAAAUUGAAGGAUGUUUAUGUUGAGACAAACUCUAUAUUUAAAGUUUUGAUGAAAAUAAACAAAGGUUAAUUAAGAUAGUUAAUUAUGAUUCUAAAAUGUUAUGUUAAUUUAACUUGUGCUUUUGAGUGAAUUUAAUUAAAGAACAGAAUCAAGCAAAGCAAAGAAAAACAGCUCAAAACUGAAACAAGAUCAUUCUAGACAAAACGGAGAACGAUCUCCAGAUUCAAGAUUGAUUGUCACAGCAUCUUGACCAAUCAAUAUCCACCAUUUUAACAAAGUCUUUGCUUAUGAAUUUUAUACCAAUAUCAUCAGUACAUGACAAGGAACAAAUAUGAUUCAUCUCACUACGAGAAGGUUCUCGAAUCAUUAAAAUAAAAGGACUCGAAACACACCAGUUGAAAAAGUUUGAAACCACUUAAAUCAAAAUAUCAAGAAAGUUUGAUCAACCUUAAUAUAUGUUAAGACAUUACAAAGACAUCCAGAAAGAUCAAAACAGGAACUCCAAAUUGAUCAUCAAAUCUCCAGAAAGAUCCAAUUGAUAGAUCAAGAUUGAUAAUCAAUCUUCGUUUUCUGCAGAAUUAGAGCAGUGCUCUGUUUACUUCUGCAAUGGCUUAUAAUAUUUCUCCAAACUAUUUUGGCUAGAUUCAAGGCUCCAGAUCGAAGUUGUAGCAUCAAAGAUUAAGUGAGAAGCUUCAAAUGCCCUUAAACUAGAAGAAAAAACUGAUUAAGCAAAGUUGUAACAGACUCAGUCAAAUCAAUUUUAACUUAUUCAAAGGCUGGAUUAUUUUUAUUCUCAUAUAUUGGUUUUGGUCAAAAGUAAUAGAGCACUACCAACAACUCUUUUUGACCCUUAUUAAUUGCUUCCAAACGCCUAUAAAAGGAAGACCAAUAUCCAGAAAUUAAGCAAGAAAUUCAAGUGCUGUCAAUUCCCAUAAUCAUUCACAUUUACAUACUUGAAGUUCUCAAUUUUUACAAAGAAGAAGCAGUUAUAAAUUCCAACAUCAGAUUGCGUGAUUACUACUGAUUUCUUUGUAAAGAAUCGAAUCUCAAACAAGAGUUGAGAAAUCUCAGAUUCUAUCAAAAAACAAUCUUAUUGUAAAAACUCAAACUAUAAGAGUUAUAUUAUAGUUUGUUUAGAUUGUAUUAAAUCUUAUCAAAGUUAGAUAGGUGUUGCAUUUACUUUCUGGAUGGAAAGAAAUAGAGAUUGAAACAGAUCAAGGUUGAUCUGAACUAGGUGCUGUAAAAUCAAGAAGGUUCUUUGUUUUAAACACUUAGUAGAAAAACUCACAGUGUGAGGACUGGACGUAGCCCGAGUUGGAUGAAAUAGGAUAUAUCUUUGUGUGGUAUUCUCUAUCUUAUCUCUUUAUUUAUUAAGCUUGAUUGAUUAACUAAGAUAAAACACAAACUGAUUUUCUAUUUUGUAAGCUAACCAAGAACGUUCUCUGUUUUAAGAAUCGAAUCUCAAACAAGAGUUGAGAAAUCUCAGAUUCUAUCAAAAAACAAUCUUAUUGUAAAAACUCAAACUAUAAGAGUUAUAUUAUAGUUUGUUUAGAUUGUAUUAAAUCUUAUCAAAGUUAGAUAGGUGUUGCAUUUACUUUCUGGAUGGAAAGAAAUAGAGAUUGAAACAGAUCAAGGUUGAUCUGAACUAGGUGCUGUAAAAUCAAGAAGGUUCUUUGUUUUAAACACUUAGUAGAAAAACUCACAGUGUGAGGACUAGACGUAGCCCAAGUUGGGUGAACCAGGAUAUAUCUUUGUGUGGUAUUCUCUAUCUUAUCUCUUUAUUUAUUAAGCUUGAUUGAUUAACUAAGAUAAAACACAAACUGAUUUUCUAUUUUGUAAGCUAACCAAGAACGUUCUCUGUUUUCUGUUUUCUUAACCAAUAUCAUUCUUGAGUUAAAACUUGAGUUUAUUUCAGGAAUUUUUAAAAAGAUAUAUUUACAAUUCAAACCCCCUUCCUUGUAUAUUAACAUUGCUACUUCAGUUUAUUUCUAAAAAUAUAUUUUUAUAAGUUGAAAAUGUGUAUAGUGAAUAAUAAUGCUAUUAGUCUUUACUCGUUUUAAACUCUUUUAGUAAAUACACUCUAAGGGGAUUAGGAGUAAGAAAUGAUUUGUAAGAUAAUUAAAGUUUUAAGGACUAAUUUGAUAAAGUCAAACACUAUUUGAUUGAAGGUGUCAGCACAAGCGAGAUUUUUCGUUGUGUUGGAUUGUGGUAGUGAUAACGGUUGAAAAAACUAUAAUUAAGGUAAGGAUUUCUUUCAAAUUUUUAGUUUGAACAUAGGGACCUUAUAUGUAUGAUUGAUGUAUGAUUGAUGUGUGAAUAUGUGAUUAUUAAUAUUGAUGUGAUAAUACGUGAUGCUACAUAUUAAUAAUUUUAUUGAGGAGAAUAUGUUUUGAGUAUGCUCUAUGAAAAAUUAUUAGUGUGUAAUGAGUAUUAAAAGGGGAGUCUUUUAAUAGCUAUAUUUACAUAAUGAUUGUUGUGAAAGAGUAAGAGUAUGCUCAUGUAUUUCAUAAUUAGUGGUGAUUGUGAUGGACCACUGUGUUAGUGGUGGCGUGAUGAACUACGAUGUUAUUGGUGGCCGUGAUGGACUACGAUGUUAGUUGUGACCUUGAUGGGUCAUAGUGUUAGUGGUGAUCGUGAUGGGUCACGUGAUGGUUCUAUAAGUUGAUUGGUUCAUCUUAUCCAUACGAGGACUUAUUUGUCGUGUNNNNNNNNNNNNNNNNNNNNNNNNNNNNNNNNNNNNNNNNNNNNNNNNNNNNNNNNNNNNNNNNNNNNNNNNNNNNNNNNNNNNNNNNNNNNNNNNNNNNNNNNNNNNNNNNNNNNNNNNNNNNNNNNNNNNNNNNNNNNNNNNNNNNNNNNNNNNNNNNNGUAGGUCUAUGAUAGACUGUACUAUGGUAAAUCGUGAUGAUCUGUGAUAGGUGGCACCACAGUAACUAAUAUUGGUCUGUGAGAUGCGGUACAAUUAUGAUUUACGUCCCUCGAGGAGGAUUUGGAAAUUCCAAAAUCACGUGCAUUGACAUAUAAGCAUUGCAUUAGGGUGCUUGGCACGCGAUUCAUGUUUGUUAUAAUAUGUUAUUUGUAUAUACAUACUCUGUUAUUGUUUGUUAUCAUGUCGUAAUUGCUAAGUGUUAUUGUUUAUCUUUAUGACAUAAUUGUUAAAUGUUAUUUGUUAAUUUCAGUUGGUGACCCUUUACAUUAUUGUGGAAAUUGAGUUUUGCCCUCAGAUGAUACCUGAGUUCGUUCCACCG